rnacentral:rRNA from 1 species
GAUGAACGCUAGCGGCAGGCCUAAUACAUGCAAGUCGAACGAUGGUGAGAAGCUUGCUUCUCACGAAAGUGGCGCACGGGUGCGUAACGCGUAUGCAACCUACCUUAAUCAGGGGGAUAGCCCGAAGAAAUUCGGAUUAACACCGCAUAAAAUCACAGUAUAGCAUUAUACAAUGAUCAAAUAUUUAUAGGAUUAAGAUGGGCAUGCGUGACAUUAGUUAGUUGGCGGGGUAACGGCCCACCAAGACCACGAUGUCUAGGGGAUCUGAGAGGAUGCCCCCCCACACUGGUACUGAGACACGGACCAGACUCCUACGGGAGGCAGCAGUAAGGAAUAUUGGUCAAUGGAGGCAACUCUGAACCAGCCAUGCCGCGUGCAGGAAGACAGCCCUCUGGGUCGUAAACUGCUUUUAUUCGGGAAUAAACCUAUCUACGUGUAGAUAGCUGAAUGUACCGAAGGAAUAAGGAUCGGCUAACUCCGUGCCAUCAGCCGCCGUAA